AAAGUGUGUCAUGCGGUCGGUCGGCUGGCUACGGUUCUCCGCAGUUGUGCGUCUUUUUUCACUCAUAUAAUGGGCCGCGGAAGCACGACCAGGAAGACGGCUACUGAACUCUACCUGUGGCGCACAGCAGCCUAUCCUGUUUUUACAAAGACCCGAAUUGCUCUGCAGUGCUGACCGUAAAUUAACAAGCUGUG